rnacentral:rRNA from 1 species
CACAGAGGGAUAGCCCAGAGAAAUUUGGAUUAAUACCUCAUAGUAUAUAGACCUGGCAUCAGGAUUAUAUUAAAGUCACAACGGUGAAAGAUGAGCAUGCGUCCCAUUAGCUAGUUGGUAUGGUAACGGCAUACCAAGGCAACGAUGGGUAGGGGUCCUGAGAGGGAGAUCCCCCACACUGGUACUGAGACACGGACCAGACUCCUACGGGAGGCAGCAGUGAGGAAUAUUGGACAAUGGGCGCAAGCCUGAUCCAGCCAUGCCGCGUGCAGGAUGACGGUCCUAUGGAUUGUAAACUGCUUUUGUACAGGAAGAAACACUCCCUCGUGAGGGAGCUUGACGGUACUGUAAGAAUAAGGAUCGGCUAACUCCGUGCCAGCAGCCGCGGUAAUACGGAGGAUCCAAGCGUUAUCCGGAAUCAUUGGGUUUAAAGGGUCCGUAGGCGGCUUUAUAAGUCAGUGGUGAAAUCUCCCGGCUCAACCGGGAAAUGGCCAUUGAUACUGUAAGGCUUGAAUUAUUAGGAAGUAACUAGAAUAUGUAGUGUAGCGGUGAAAUGCUUAGAGAUUACAUGGAAUACCAAUUGCGAAGGCAGGUUACUACUAAUGGAUUGACGCUGAUGG